AAUUUGAGACUAAUUGGGGGGAAAUGAAAUUUGGGUCGGGGAGAAAUGAAAUUUGGGUCUAAAAUUCUUCAAAGCGUUUACUCUUUUAUUUUUGUGCUGAAGUCUUCUUUCUCGGUUUUUCCCUUAUCUCCUCUAACCUAAUACCCUCGCAUCCACAACUCGCCUCCACCACAUAUUAACGCCGUUUUGCCUCUCCGGCGUCCAGUGCCUCUCGUCGGUGCCGUGAGAGGGAUCCUUUUUUGUCAUUGGUGUUAUCUAAUCCCUCAUAUGUGGUUGUCAGCGGUUGUCGUCGGAGGUAUAGAGUUCGUGAUUUGAGAUCUCAAUUUGUGGCGGCUCGAGACAUCUCCUUGGCUCGUGUUUAAGAAUGAUGGCCUCCAGUUUUUGGAGUCCGCGGCGAGAGGAUCCACACGGUACAGCUGAAGAGGGAUUUAUGGCUAAUUGGGAAGUUGAUUUGUCGAAGAAUCUAGAAGACUACCUUCAAAAUUAUUACCGGAGAAAUCACUGGAAAUGAAGAAGAUGGGCAGAUUCCUGUGAAUUCGCUGAAGGUUUGUGGUAUUUUGCUUCAAUUUUCAGAAAUUUGUUUCUCUUUUGAUUCAACUUAUUCCAUUUUUUAGAGUAAUUGAGAAUUGGGUUUCGAAUUUUGUGUUUCUCUGGAUUUGUGGUUGUUUUCUGCUUCAUGGUUCGGUUCAGGUUUACUCCCAAGAAAGUGGAGUACAUGUACAAUUUGGUUCUACGUACGUUGGAGUUUCUAUCGAAGCAAAGUGAAUUUAUACCAUCGUUGCGCCACUGUUUAUAUCAGAGGAGUCAUGUCGUCUUUGUCCAGCGCAGCCUAAGAGAUGUUUUAGAAAAGUCCCAACACUUUGAGUUUAAGAUUUAGCUUUGGCGCUUCCACCUUGAGUUGUAGCUUCUGUCACUUCUGUCCAUUGGGUGCUGUAGGCAGGGAGAUCAGAUUCACCAAGUCUAAUACUUGGUGAUGCUGACUCAUAAGCAUUGGGGUUUAGGCUUCCUCUUUCUUGUUGACUUGUUAACAUCUCCAUGAAGCCAGCAGAGUUAGUAUAUGGAUUCAUCUCCAAGAGUUUCAGGGAGUUUACAAAGGGAAUUAAAGAAAAUGAAAGAUGAGAGAAUGAAAGAGAAUGGGAGAAUAAAAGAAGAAUCUGGGAGAAUGAAAGAGAAUGAGAGAAUAAAAGAUGAUUCUGAGAGAAUGAAAGAGAAUGAAAGAGAAUGGGAGUUUCUGAGAGUGUUAAAUAGAUUGACAGAGAAUGAAAGAGAAAGAGAGACUUUAUAUGUUAGUGUUUGUUUACAGUUGUGGGUAACAAUCAAUGAUACACUUACUUCUAAACCCUAAUGGAAACCAAACAAGCAUUGAUCAAUUAAAAACUGAUGUAGACAAUCUAAUUCAACAUCAAAACUAACAGAAAGCAAACAAUUAAAAACUCUUUUAAGAGGCAUUUAUCACUAAAUUAACACAACCAAAACACUCAAGUCUCACCUAAUAUUAACUACAAAAAUAAUCAAUGUUCUAAAUCAAAUUCAAGAUAGCUUCUGUUUCCUUAAUGUCUGGCCAUUUAACGCAGCUUCUGAUCCUCACAGUCUCCUCUCCGUUCUCUCAUCUUUGUGUCCAAUAAACACCAUAUCUCACAAUAAAAAGAAAACAAUAAAUCAAAUUCAAGAUUAAGAAACAAAACAGAUUAACAUUUGAAUUAAAAAUCACAAAUAUAAUGAAGACUAAUCACUACACGAAGCAUUUAUGAAGUAUAAUCACUACACAAAGCAUUUAUCUGAUGUAGACAUUCUAAUUCAAUUUUAGGUAGACAAAUAGCAAACAAUU